rnacentral:rRNA from 1 species
GCCGCGUGUGUGAAGAAGGCCUUCGGGUUGUAAAGCACUUUCAGUCGUGAGGAAGGUGGUGUAGUUAAUAGCUGCAUUAUUUGACGUUAGCGACAGAAGAAGCACCGGCUAACUCCGUGCCAGCAGCCGCGGUAAUACGGAGGGUGCGAGCGUUAAUCGGAAUUACUGGGCGUAAAGCGCAUGCAGGUGGUUUGUUAAGUCAGAUGUGAAAGCCCGGGGCUCAACCUCGGAAUAGCAUUUGAAACUGGCAGACUAGAGUACUGUAGAGGGGGGUAGAAUUUCAGGUGUAGCGGUGAAAUGCGUAGAGAUCUGAAGGAAUACCGGUGGCGAAGGCGGCCCCCUGGACAGAUACUGACACUCAGAUGCGAAAGCGUGGGGAGCAAACAGGAUUAGAUACCCUGGUAGUCCACGCCGUAAACGAUGUCUACUUGGAGGUUGUGGCCUUGAGCCGUGGCUUUCGGAGCUAACGCGUUAAGUAGACCGCCUGGGGAGUACGGUCGCAAGAUUAAAACUCAAAUGAAUUGACGGGGGCCCGCACAAGCGGUGGAGCAUGUGGUUUAAUUCGAUGCAACGCGAAGAACCUUACCUACUCUUGACAUCCAGAGAACUUUCCAGAGAUGGAUUGGUGCCUUCGGGAACUCUGAGACAGGUGCUGCAUGGCUGUCGUCAGCUCGUGUUGUGAAAUGUUGGGUUAAGUCCCGCAACGAGCGCAACCC